rnacentral:misc_RNA from 1 species
UUUCCGUAGGUGAACCUGCGGAAGGAUCAUUAUUGUAUAACCGAGGUGCGAGGGCUGUCGCUGACCCGAAAGGUCGUGCACGCCCGAGUGCCCUCACUCACAUCCAUCUCACCCCUAUGUGCACCACCGCGUGGGUCCCCCUUUGGCUUGUUCGGAGGGGGGCUUACGUUUUCACACAAACUUUGUAUGCAGUGUAGAAUGUAUUUUUUGUUUUUGCGAUCACGCAAUCAAUACAACUUUCAACAACGGAUCUCUUGGCUCUG